AACUCAUUCACUUUGUAGAAUAAUUGAUGAUCAGCUUCAAAUUCAAAAGUUUUAUGAGAAUGUUUUUCCUUUUGAGUUGAUGCACUUGGAUUUAGUUUCACAAAGAAAUUAAUCUCAGAACACCUUUUGGGAAGUAUAUUCAUGAUUUAUGUCCUUCUUCUCAGUACUUGCACACCAAAAGUGACUAAAGUGAAGUUCAAAAACCCUCACCAGAGAUCAUUGUGUCCUCUGGAAGAGAAAAGGAAAUUUUCCCUUUUUUUUUAUACAUUAAUAUUAAAGGCAACAACAAUAUAUAUUAAAUUAAGACAUUGAUAAUAAUUUACUGACCAAAAGCCAUAUAAGACACAUUACAUAGGCCCCCUCAAAGAAAAAAAAUUAAGUAUGACGAAUCAUUCGAUGCCCGUUGAAUAGAAUUAACCAUAAUUGCAUAAGCCGUCUUAUCACGUAGAUUAUAUUCAUGUCACUGGUUUAGAGCUGAUCCUUCAUUGUUCCUUCAUGGUGAGUUUGGUGAAGUGUUAAAAGAUUGUCUAAUUUGAGUGUGGUUAGCUCUUGGAUAUUUUGGACGUGAGUAACAAAGUCGGAUGUCGAGUAAUUGAUCGUCAUGUUCGGAGACGUAAUCUGGUUGAUGAUCAAUUUUCUUAUGACUAUGAGGAUUUACGUUUUUAGGUUGUUUGUAUUUAUUUCCGAAAAAUUGUUUCAAAUGGUCAAUGUGGACAGUGUGAUUAUCGCCGGACCUUAUUCCUUUGAUUUUAGCACAACCGAAGAUAUUAACUUUAUUAUGCAAAAAGGUCCAAUAUACUUAGGACUGAAUUUGUCCUUUUUUUUGACCAGGAAUAGGUUUCCUUAAAAGAACAUGAUCACCUAUGGUGAAUUCUUUAGUCAAUCUGAUAUUAUUUGGAAGUUGUCGAUAAUUUUGUUUAUUUUGCUCACUUUGAUUAUUAGCGUUAUCAUUAAUUAUUUUGAAAGAGUCACA
rnacentral:lncRNA from 1 species